rnacentral:misc_RNA from 1 species
GAUGAAGAACGUAGCGAAAUGCGAUAAGUAAUGCGAAUUGCAGAAUUCCGUGAGUCAUCGAAUCUUUGAACGCACAUUGCGCCCGCCAGUAUUCUGGCGGGCAUGCCUGUUCGAGCGUCAUUACAACCCUCAGGCCCCCGGGCCUGGCGUUGGGGAUCGGCGGAAGCCCCCUGCGGGCACAACGCCGUCCCCCAAAUACAGUGGCGGUCCCGCCGCAGCUUCCAUUGCGUAGUAGCUAACACCUCGCAACUGGAGAGCGGCGCGGCCACGCCGUAAAACACCCAACUUCUGAAUGUUGACCUCGAAUCAGGUAGGAAUACCCGCUGAACUUAAGCAUAUCAAUAAGCGGAGGA